rnacentral:tRNA from 1 species
CAGAGAGGAGCUUACAAGCGCAGCACUUCGCUUACACCGAAACUCUCCCCGUGCAAGUCGGGUCUCUCUG